GCAACAGCUCAGAUUUGGAAUCUGGCCCCCAGGGCCGAGUUGUAAUCUGGAGAGGAUGCUUCUGGCGCGGCGCCUUCCGAGUUCCCUGGAACGGGACGCCGGAGAGGGUGAGAGCCCCGUACGGUCGGACGCCUAGCCUUUGUGAAGCUCCUUCGACGAGUCGAGUAGUUUGGGAAUGCUGCUCAAAAUGGGAGGUAAAUUUCUUCUAAAGCUAAAUAUUGGCCAGAGACCGAUAGCGCACAA
rnacentral:rRNA from 1 species